AUGGAGUCGCGUUUCAUUAUCAGCAUUGGGCUGUUGAUUCACCUAGGUGCAGCGCUGGAUGACUCGGUCCACUCCAAGGACCCCCAAGUGUCCGGAAUAGAAGGAGGCUCUGUGACCCUCAGCUGCUCUUACACUACCAGCUAUACCGGUUCCCUCUCUCUCUACUGGUACCUCCAGUAUCCCAGCCAAGCCCCGCAGUACAUUCUCCAGAAAGGCGCUAAGGGAAGCAGGUACCAACAUACCGCAGGUUUCGCCCGGCAGAGGUUUUCUUCCCAGGCUGAUGACAGCUCCACAGUUCUGGACAUCACAGCCCUGGAGCUGGCAGACACCGCGGUGUAUCUCUGCGCCCUGCAGCGGGCACAGUGA